CAAUUGAAGGGUUUGAUUCUGGCUCAGAAUGAACGUUGGCGGCGUGGAUUAGGCAUGCAAGUCGAGCGAGAAGCUUGCUUCGGCAAGUGGACAGCGGCGAAAGGGACAGUAAUGUGUAGGUACCUACCCCCGGAUCUGGGAUAGCUGCGGGAAACUGCAGGUAAUACCGGAUAACGUCUCCGGACCAAAGGUGUGAUUCCGUCUGGGGAGGGGC
rnacentral:rRNA from 1 species